rnacentral:rRNA from 1 species
AUUGAACGCUGGCGGCAGGCCUAACACAUGCAAGUCGAGCGGUAGCACAGAGAGCUUGCUCUCGGGUGACGAGCGGCGGACGGGUGAGUAAUGUCUGGGAAACUGCCUGAUGGAGGGGGAUAACUACUGGAAACGGUAGCUAAUACCGCAUAACGUCACAAGACCAAAGAGGGGGACCUUCGGGCCUCUUGCCAUCAGAUGUGCCCAGAUGGGAUUAGCUAGUAGGUGGGGUAACGGCUCACCUAGGCGACGAUCCCUAGCUGGUCUGAGAGGAUGACCAGCCACACUGGAACUGAGACACGGUCCAGACUCCUACGGGAGGCAGCAGUGGGGAAUAUUGCACAAUGGGCGCAAGCCUGAUGCAGCCAUGCCGCGUGUAUGAAGAAGGCCUUCGGGUUGUAAAGUACUUUCAGCGGGGAGGAAGGCGAUAAGGUUAAUAACCUUGUCGAUUGACGUUACCCGCAGAAGAAGCACCGGCUAACUCCGUGCCAGCCGCCGCGGUAA